rnacentral:rRNA from 1 species
GAUGAACGCUGGCGGCGUGCCUAAUACAUGCAAGUCGAGCGAACAGACGAGGAGCUUGCUCCUCUGACGUUAGCGGCGGACGGGUGAGUAACACGUGGAGAACCUACCUAUAAGACUGGGAUAACUUCGGGAAACCGGAGCUAAUACCGGAUAAUAUAUUGAACCGCAAGGUUCAAUAGUGAAAGACGGUUUUGCUGUCACUUAUAGAUGGAUCCGCGCCGCAUUAGCUAGUUGGUAAGGUAACGGCUUACCAAGGCGACGAUGCGUAGCCGACCUGAGAGGGUGAUCGGCCACACUGGAACUGAGACACGGUCCAGACUCCUACGGGAGGCAGCAGUAGGGAAUCUUCCGCAAUGGGCGAAAGCCUGACGGAGCAACGCCGCGUGAGUGAUGAAGGUCUUCGGAUCGUAAAACUCUGUUAUUAGGGAAGAACAAAUGUGUAAGUAACUAUGCACGUCUUGACGGUACCUAAUCAGAAAGCCACGGCUAACUACGUG